rnacentral:tRNA from 1 species
GGCAAAAUGGAGUAAAUUAACUCGUUAGUUUCAUUGUCUAUAAGUUAGCGGUUUAAAUCCGCUUUUUGCUU